GACGAACGCUGGCGGCGUGCUUAACACAUGCAAGUCGAACGGAAAGGCCCUGCUUUUGUGGGGUGCUCGAGUGGCGAACGGGUGAGUAACCCGUGAGUAACCUGCCCUUGACUUUGGGAUAACUUCAGGAAAAUGGGGCUAAUACCGGAUAGGAGCUCCUGCUGCAUGGUGGGGGUUGGAAAGUUUCGGCGGUUGGGGAUGGACUCGCGGCUUAUCAGCUUGUUGGUGGGGUAGUGGCUUACCAAGGCUUUGACGGGUAGCCGGCCUGGGAGGGUGACCGGCCACCUUGGUACUGCGGUACGGCCCAGACUCCUACGUGAGGCAGCGGUGGGGAGUAUUGCACAGUGGGCGGAAGCCUGAUGCGACGACGCCGCGUGCGUGAUGACGGCCUUCGGGUUGUGAACCGCUUUCGCCUGUGACGUGGCGGGAUUGACGGUAAUGGGUAAAGAAGCACCGGCUAACUACGUG
rnacentral:rRNA from 1 species